rfam:Daphnia pulex DAPPTscaffold_64_Cont3314, whole genome shotgun sequence.
GGUCGUGUGGCCUAACGGAUAAGGCGUAGGACUUCGGAUCCGAUGACUGCAGGUUCGAGUCCUGCUACGAUCA